rnacentral:rRNA from 1 species
ACAGAAUGCUUAACACAUGCAAGUCAACUUGAACUUCGGUUUGGGUGGCGGACGGGUGAGUAACGCGUAAAGAACUUGCCUCACAGAUAGGGACAACAUUUGGAAACGAAUGCUAAUACCUGAUAUUAUGAUUUUAGGGCAUCCUAGGAUUAUGAAAGCUAUAUGCGCUGUGAGAGAGCUUUGCGUCCCAUUAGCUAGUUGGAGAGGUAACGGCUCACCAAGGCGAUGAUGGGUAGCCGGCCUGAGAGGGUGAUCGGCCACAAGGGGACUGAGACACGGCCCUUACUCCUACGGGAGGCAGCAGUGGGGAAUAUUGGACAAUGGACCAAGAGUCUGAUCCAGCAAUUCUGUGUGCACGAUGAAGUUUUUCGGAAUGUAAAGUGCUUUCAGUUGGGAAGAAAAAAAUGACGGUACCAACAGAAGAAGUGACGGCUAAAUACGUGCCAGCAGCCGCGGUAAUACGUAUGUCACAAGCGUUAUCCGGAUUUAUUGGGCGUAAGCGCGUCUAGGUGGUUAUAUAAGUCUGAUGUGAAAAUGCAGGGCUCAACUCUGUAUUGCGUUGGAAACUGUGUAACUAGAGUACUGGAGAGGUAAGCGGAACUACAAGUGUAGAGGUGAAAUUCGUAGAUAUUUGUAGGAAUGCCGAUGGGGAAGCCAGCUUACUGGACAGAUACUGACGCUGAAGCGCGAAAGCGUGGGUAGCAAACAGGAUUAGAUACCCUGGUAGUCCACGCCGUAAACGAUGAUUACUAGGUGUUGGGGGUCGAACCUCAGCGCCCAAGCAAACGCGAUAAAUAAUCCGCCUGGGGAGUACGUACGCAAGUA